rnacentral:rRNA from 1 species
UAGUCCACGCCGUAAACGAUCAUCACUCGCUGUUGGCGAUAUACUGUCAGCGGCCAAGCGAAAGUAUUAAGUGAUGCACCUGGGGAGUACGCCGGCAACGGUGAAACUCAAAGGAAUUGACGGGGGCCCGCACAAGCGGUGGAGCAUGUGGUUUAAUUCGAUGAUACGCGAGGAACCUUACCAGGGCUUAAAUGUAGUAUGACCGGUCUGGAAACAGACCUUCUCUUCGGAGCAGAUUACAAGGUGCUGCAUGGUUGUCGUCAGCUCGUGCCGUGAGGUGUUAGGUUAAGUCCUGCAACGAGCGCAACCCUUGUCUUUAGUUGCCAUCAUUAAGUUGGGCACUUUAAAGAGACUGCCGGUGACAAACCGGAGGAAGGUAAGGAUGACGUCAAGUCAGCAUGCCCCUUAUGCUCUGGGCUACACACGUGCUACAAUGGCCGUGACAAAGAGUUGCUACUUUGUGAAAACAAGCUAAUCUCAUAAACGCGGCCUCAGUUCGGAUUG